UCAUAGCUCAGUUGGUAAAUCAUCUGCCUGCAAUGCAGGAGACCCAGGUUCAAUUCCUGGGUCAUGAA
rnacentral:tRNA from 1 species